CCAUCCAUCCAUCCAUCCAUUCUUCCAUGGAUCUAUGCAUCUGUCCACCCAUCCCCUCAUUCUUUCAAUAUUUAUUGUGUAGCUAUUAUAUGUCAGACAUUCUUCUUUACUCUGCAUAUAUGAAAGAGAACAAGGCAUGAAAUUCCUGUUCUCAUGGAGCUUCUGUUCUACAAGAGGAAGGGAGAUCAUAAAAAUAGUUAACACACAAUACGAUAACUUCAGAGAGUGGUAUGUGCUCUGAAAGCCGUCCCAUUGGGCAACAGUACAGGGAGUGACCAGUGACAGGUGGGCAGAGUUGAGGAGGGCUUCUUUAGCGAAGGUGAUCAGGGAAAGCCUUGCAAAGGAGAUGAUAGUGAGACUGAAGUGAAAAGGAGACAGUCACAUGAAGGCCUGGGCAAGGGAGAACAUUCCAGGCAGAGGGAGCCACAGUGAGCUGAUGUCACUGAGGAGCCUCCAGCUAAGCAGCAGCUUGGAGACAGAGGGCCAAGCAGAGGCGAAUCAGACAAAAGCACACUCAAAUCUUGGCUCAGCCCUUUAGUAUCUGUGGGACAUGGAGAGAGGUGCUAACCUUCCAAGCUUUUACUUCUCUAUAUGUGAAAUGGAGACACUAAAACCUCACUCAUAGGGUGGGUGAAAAGAUGAAGUCGUAUACAGAGCAUGGUCCUUGGCAUGAGGUAGCUUAUCAAGCCCAGAUACUUCCAAAUCCUUCUGCCAAGUGAAAGUCAUCGUGCUUCUCACAUCAGCAUCCUAAGACAGGCAGGAAGAUUGAUCACCUUGCUUCUGGUAACCAGUUUCAGACUGACAUGUCUGCAUGAUUCCACCUUCAUUCCAUAUUUUAAAAAUGCACCAUGUACUCCCUUUAUUAAGCAUGUCACCCAGCUCUAGUUACUGUGAAACUAGAAGGUCACAGCUCAGCUCUGUGCUCAGAAAUAUGGCACCUGUCAGGUGCAUGAUUUAGGAACUUGGCCUUCCUCAGUGGGACCUCAGUGUAGUAAAAUCAAGUCAACGAUUCAAUCCAUGGCUGCUGAUAAAGACUGGGAGAAAUAUGAAGCUGCUGUCUUAGCAAUACACUUUUCAUUAGUGAACUUUUUUAGUAAGAUGACAUUGAAAUCCACCCCCCCAGCCUGGUUUCCAAAUAGCUCAGCACUGUAACCUGAAUAAGACGUGGUGACUCUGCUGGACAAAGACCAAAAGCCUUGCGAGGGUGUGGGACAGACAACAGGAUACAUCAGUGCAGUUGGCUCAGUUUUGCAAGGUUAGACUUCUCUCAUUUGAUUUCACUUACCUCUGGCUAUUUUCCUUUUCUUUGCCAGAGGAACACUGGCAAAUGUUUAACAUCUGAUUCUCUGGAGGUGGGGAAAGCUUGAAUUAAUAGUGUUUGUCUAAUUCCAUGAUAGAAGUAUUUCCAAUGUGGCCAGUUUCGAGUUACUCCCACGAUGUCACUGAAUGCACAGCUACAAAGAGAUGGUAACAACUGGCCCCUGCAAACUGCUAUGAAUUGGCUCUAGGGCAACACUGCUACACCAUCUCCCUACGAAUAACAGGGAUCCCCUUUGUGGGGUUGGACACUGUACAUAUGUAGCUGGCACUACAUGCAUGAUAUUUCAUAUAAUCUUAACUAUCAUUGUUUGAGGCUGGGAUUACUAUUGCCAUUUCAGGGAUGAGAAUAGCAAGGCUCAGAGAGAUUGUGUAGCCAGCAUCGGUUCACAUAAUUAGCAGGCAGCGAAGUUGGGAUUUGAAUACUGUGGGCACCUUUCAUGUGGCACACUCCUCCCCACUCUGAGUCCUCCUCUUUCUUCCCUGGGAAUGAGUAGCUUGCUUCCUAACAAGCUCCAGGGCUCCAGUGUCCCCUGGAUCCUCCCACAGUGCUCUUUUGCACAUGGACCCCUCCACUCCCAGUUCAGAAUGAAGUCCAGUUUACUUAGCUUGGCUCCAGGGUGCAGCCUGUACUUCCUCAUCCAAUCUCUCUACUCUAGCAAAAUGGGUUUCCCCACGGUCCCUAGAUGUGUGUGAGAUGGUUGACCUUCUUGCAUUAUCAGCUUCUCCUUAUUCCACUUAGAUGCAACGAUCUCAUUCAAACUCUGUCUUGUCCUGCUAGUCCUGCUAGCCCUGCUAAACCACUUGAGCCCCUGGAGUCUCUUCCUCCCUGGAGCUUCUACAGCAUUCCUAUCUGGACCAUUCGCCAGGUGGUUAACACUGGAAACAAAAACUAUGUUGUUUGCUGGUUUGGAUUUCUUACAGCUCCCAGGAGACCACAAGCUACUUGGAGGUAGGACCAAGUGGUGUACAUAACGACCAGACAGCCACAAAGAGUCCCUUGCUCAGACAGGUGUUCAGCAACUCUUCCCAGAGCAAAACAUGCCUGUCUUGCCCACUGCGGAGUAACUGCAAGGCAGCGCACUGCUCCUCUGGGGUCUCAGACCCAAUGGCAGCCUUACAAGAAUAAACUCAAGCUGUUUUAAAAAAUAUUUUUAAACAGCAAACCUCUCCUCUCUAAAUGACAUUUAAUUGCUUCAAAGAUCAAGAGAAGGCAACUUCUUUGUGGCUGGGCGUGCAAACAACCUGCGUUCUUCAGGGCUCUGGGUAUGGGUUACAAGAUUCAUCGUGACUCAAUUCUCCAAUCCACUGAGUUUUGGAGGACACAGGCAGUGUGUCACUGCAGAUGGACUGCCAACCCCCAAUUAAACUGUUCUGGAUGGCUACUGGUGGUGACCUUCAGGUGACAUUGGUCAAGCCUCAAAGGAGUGUGGCCACCCAACCCUAGCAGAGUUUGAGUGUGCCAGGUGCUCAUUACUGAACCCACUUCUCAGUCUACAUCAAACAACCAUGCUGGCCAGAAAUGGUGUGCUGAGUUCUGACGAUACAGAAACACCACACUACUGAUGAUACAGGUGCAUACAUGAAACCUCCUGGUGGCAGGAAGACUCGUUCCUGAGGGCCUGAUGGCUCCCACACCGAGGAAUGCUCUGCCAGAGGCCAGUCCAUUUCAGGCACAGUUAUAACCCACUCCAUAAAGGUUGUGCCAGGGAGAAAAUUAUGACAGGACCUUGCUUGAAAGAAGAGGCAGUCACAAGGCCCCAUGGGGCUUACCUUCCAGGAUGGACUGGCCCUGGGUUUGGGAUUGCAUCAAUUUCAUUUCUGGCUCUCAUGAGUCGGAUUCCCUCUUUUCUCAGAGUAUGGAAGCCAGUGGAGCGUGGCAAAGGUGUCUGGCACCCUGUCUUUGCUGCUUCCUGUGAAAACGAGAUGGUCUGCCUGAAAUGAUACAUUGGCUGUUUCAUUUCUGGGCUCCCCUUGUGUCUUUUUUUUUUAAAGACAGAGACGGGGUCUCACUAUGUUGCCCAGGCUGUCCUCGAACUCCUACGCUCAAGGAAUCUUCCUGCCUCAGCCUCCCAAAGAGCAGGAUUAUGAACGUGAGCCAUUACGCCCAACUUCCCCUAAUCUCUUGUGCUUGGCAUAAUGCUGGUAUGCAGUAGGUGCUCAAUAAAUGCUGACUUGGGUGUAAUAUUGAUGAACUCCAAAAAGCUUACUGGAGAGUGUGUGCAUGUGUGAGUGCACAUGUGUGAAUGUGUGUGCAUGUGUGUGCAUGAGUGCAUGUAUGAGUACUUGCAUGUGGGUGCAGAUGUGGGAGUGGUGUGUGAAUGUGUGGACAUGUAUGUGCAUGAUGUACACAUGUGUACAUGCACAAGUGUGUGAACGUGUGUGUGUGUGUGUACGUAUGUACUGGAUCAAGGUCAGGCAGAGCUGGCACUCAGAUGACCACCAGCACCCCGGUCCCAAAUUCGGCAGCAGCAACCAUUUGGUGCCUACCCUGUUCCCUUCUCAUUUAGUGCCAUCUUCACCAACCCGCCAGGAAGACAAGCUUGAUUCCAUCUUGAAUAUGAGGAAAAUGGAGGCUCGCUGAUGUGCAGUAGCCCUUGCAAGGCCUCACAGUGUGUGCAGGGAGAUGUAGAUUCCUACAGUGGAGUCUGACCCCACUGUCCCCUAUGCUGCAGUGCCUUCUGGGCAGAUGCCAGGCAUCAGACCAGGGAAAUUCUGCCCCACAGUGAGUGGGGCCAACUGACGCUGAUGUGAGUGUAUUCCAUAGUGGCUGUGUGUGAUGGAGAGGGAGUGGGAUUGGUACUCAGGGGCUUAAGGAAUGGCAUCUGGUAUAAUGGUAUCUGAGGACAUGGCACAGAACAUGGUAUGCCACAGCCUCCUCACCUUAUAAUGGAAGUAACCGUGCAUACCUCCUAGCGUCACCGUGGGGGUUUAAAUUCUUACAUGUGAGGUGUGUAUAACUGCACGUGGUAUGCAGGAAGCGCUCGGUAGCUACGCUCCUAGUACAUCCUCAUAAGCGAACACUUACUAAUCUAGUUGUUGUGCUGGAAAAUGUGGCGCUGGAAAAGACCUGGAGCUUGACCAUGACACAGACAUUCAGGCUACGGAUCCUGUGUCCACCGUUUACUGAGAGGGCCGUGGGUGAGUGACGUGGAGUGUGGCGUAACCUCCCCAUGUCGCCCUCUCCUAGUGCAGAAAUUGGAGACAGUGGGGGAUCCCUCACAGGGUUGCUGGGAUGACUGAAUGAGGUAAUAGACUUCACAGAUCCCACAUAGGGUCUGGUACGCAGUGGUCCCUCAACAGUGGACAGACAUUAUUAGGAUCUGGUCAUAUUCUGAGAACAAAGCUUGACAAGUUCUGGAAUCAAAUGUCAUUGUCAAAUGUGCCUGCUCAAUGCAAUUCUACUUGGCUACUGGACUCUCUGCAAUAAUUUGUCUGAAAGAGAGGCAGAAGCCCCCAAGAGAUGAAUGGGCUGGUUUUAAGGAGAGAAUGAUUUUAAGAGGCAUUGAGGGUGCCCUGGAAGCCAUCCCCCUACAGUGCAUAUCAGGCCAAAUGCACCUGUCAGCACCUGCAUUCCUUUGCCAGAGAACUUGCACCAGCAGCCAAAGGCCUUUGCUCAUCUAUGCAGCAGGCUGAAUGCGAUGAGAAUCAGCACCUCUCUCAGGAGCAACCCUCACCCAAUGACUGGGGUACUUAUACCUCAGCUCCCUUGCUCCCCAUGAGACAAGAAGAAUACAGGGUGGUCAUAGAAGAAUAGAAAAUUCCAGGCAGUAGUUUCACAUGAUUAGCAAAAGGAAAAUGUUGAAAUAGCUGCAGAAGCUAGGGGCUGAUAAGACCCUGAAAAAACAAGAGUGUGGGCCAAGCUGGCUAAGACCAACUGGACCCAUCGUGGUGGUGGAUUUCACUUAGGUUUUCCCUAGGACCUCAAUAUAUGCUCGUUAACAUACUAUAUCACACACCCACCGGCACCUCGAUGGUUCCAGGAACACCCAUAUUUGGUGCAAAAAUGGGUGACACCUCAGUUAUGAGAAAUCUCCACCUUUUUCCAGGAAUCUUCAUGAACAUUCCACUGCUUGGUUAAAGAAAUCCAUAGAGGUAGCAACCCCAAUCCCCCUUGAGAGCGAUUCCUUCACUCUUGAAAACGCUCACACUCACCUUUCUUGAGUGUAUACUUUUUGCUUUGCAAUAAACCAUACUUUCACUAUUUUCUGACUCAUUCUUGAAUUUCUUCUCACAGUCAAGAGCCUGGACAAUGACUGGGGUCAAGGACUCACUGGCGUUUGGGGACCUCCCCCAGCCUACGAUAUUACUUGGAUGGAAUAAGCCCAGGAGUGUGUUCCUCUGGGAUUCAGCUCCUGUACGCAUAGUGGUGGCUGGAUGGACAAUGCAGAGUGUGUGGGCUGUGUUCCUCUCCUGUCCCACUUCCUGCUCUCCCGCUGGUAUUUUAUGGGAUUUUCUGCCAACUAAACUAUUUUCACCCUAACCCUUGUCUCAGCAUCUGCUUCGGGGGCAAUCCAAAGUAAGACUGUCCAAAGUAAGACAGUCACAGUCAUGUUAAUAGAAUUCCCACCAGACAGCGGUUGAUUGUUCCAGAGGCCAAUGCCCAGAGCAGCAGGAAGUGACUUCAUCAAGCCAGAGUGGUGAAUUAGUUCCAGUUGUUUUUCCUGAGCCUCUCAACAACAGGAGAGGCAAGCAGAGCACAGUAGGAACUGAAUGGGGUUUGCGUGAAAGAAAAAUCCAGGGAAAGGUGUCCUGCAGAACGUGCACGGACCUGACCCGAGUCUAAGCUUGUAAGGGGCUUGGUGCAUGGGAGUUGGAGAACCAUCUCGGUGUUCAUAUUCUGGCAUCGAAAUGAGAACAUGAGUGCAUUUUAUUGUAUCUUUGAGGGUAAGAUUGUUAUUUUUGUUCAUUAUCUCUCUUGCCUUAACAACCUAACCUGACUGAAUGAAAACCCCACCUAAGAGAAGACAUUGAAAACACCUUUCUAUCCCUUAGCUUCCUUCGAGGCAGUUUUCUCCUCCAGACCACACUGGAAAUCACAGCUUCAGGUGAAAAGGGAAACCACUUUUCAAACUUCCAUGAACACUUUUGAACUGUAACCAAAGUUAGGGAUGGGUGUGAGGUGAAGUCUGGGUUGAAGGGUUCUUGUCAUUUUCUAGAUGCCAAGAAAUGUCUUUAUGGAACUUACAAAGCAAAAAGCCUUUUUCAUUUCUCCAUAUAUAAAAAAGUGCAAUGUGCAGGGUUAUCUGGAUGAGGUUUUAGAUGACAUAUUUUGUGCAGUUGAAUGGAUGUUACGGUGGCUGAAAAGGUUGUGUACCAGGGAGUAAUUGCGAGUUCGUGCCUAUUAUGGAGUCAGAGGCAUGUUGGUCUAGGCAAGCAUUUGAGUCCUGAGAGAACUGUAGAAAAGAAACAUAGUACCUCUGAGGGAGUCUGCCAAGAAAGGAUGGUUUUCUUAGUCUCCUUGCCCCUUGUUUCUUAAAAAGUACUUUUCUGUUUAUAAAAGUAAUGUAUGUGUUCAACAUUAACAACUUGAUAAUACAAGACAGUGUGAAGAAAACAUGAAAAAUCACCAAAUAAUUCCAGGAGCCUGAAAGCCCGCUCCUAUCCUUAGACAUUUUAUUCAAAGUCUUCUCCACGUGUGAUUUGUAUAAUUGGAAUCGUACCGUUUACCAACUUGGAUGUCCCACUUUUGUCACUUCAGUUUAUAUCAGAAACAAUUUCUCCUGGCUUCAAAAAUUUUAAUCACUGCAUAUUAUUCCAUCAUAUGGCAACUCUGUAAUAUAUUUAUCCAGCCUCCUAUUGUUGGACACUGGGGCUGUUUUCUAACUUUUUGCUACCAUAAAUAAGGCUUCAGUGUACAACUCCGCACAUAAAUCUGUUUCCUGAGUGUAUACAUUUUUGACACCAUUUCUGAUUAUUUCGAGAUAUAUUCCUAGGAAUGAAAUUACGGGUAUGGAAGAGUGUGACUGUUGGAAAAAAGUUAAUACAUACUGCAGCGUGUCUUUUAGAAAGUUUAUGCCAAUUUCCAUUCCUUGCCUGUUCUUUAAAGCACUACUCAAUACAAUAUGUUUCCUUGGCUUAGGGAUGCAGCUCUAUUCAAAGAGAUACAUGACCCAAGGAGGAACGCUCUUGUUAGCCUUGCCAUUGGAACCAAGGAAACAUAGGCUCCAUAGCAGAGGCAGACAGGAUCAGAAAUGCUGGCCUCUACCCAGAGGACUGUAAGCUCUGCUCUCCUGGGCUGCCCUGGCUCAUCCCUGCCCCACCUCCACAUGCAUCCUAUGCUAAGGUGGUAACGAGCUAUUUUUAUGCAGUAAUAUGUGUGCAGCCCAAGCAAAUGUUGCUGUGGCUUGUGGUUCCCUGAAGCGGCCAGUUUUCUCCCAGACCCUCUGUACCUUUGCAUCUCCUAUCAUCUGUGCUUGGAAAGCCCCUCCCCACAGUGCCACCUGCUCAGCUCUGGAGGUGACCAGGGAAUGCAGAAGGGAGCUAACACUGGAUAAGAGACCCAAGGCACAUGGCCACCGACCUUGAGCAUCUCAUGGCCUGGUGGGGAGAUGAGAAGCACUCCUGUGGUCAGAGAUAAUUUUAUCUUCUUUUUGAACAUACAGGCGGGCUGAACUUCUCAGUUUCUAAUGCAGCUAGAUUAGGAUAGAGCAAAGUUGGUAGAUGUGAUAAUGUCACUUCUGGGCCUGGCUGCAAACCCCCUGCAAGACCCUCCUUGCUCUCUCUUUCCCUUCCACAGCAACCCUGGAGGCUACACCUUGAAGAGGCAGCCUCAUGAAAUGGAAGGUGCCAAGGAUCUCUGAACGUUAUGGAGCAGAGCCAUCCCACCCCACCAUCUGCAGUUCGACUGUAAUAGGAGGACUGAGAGUUUUAUUCUGGCUCAGUCGUUUCAGCCAUCACAGAAUUAAGUAAUGACAAAGUGAAUUAUCAUCCAGCCCUGGCUUCGGCAAGGAAUGUAACCUGCAGCCGAGAUCCCUCACUGCUGGAGCACUCACACGACUGUCUAGGUAGUGACAUGAAAAAUGUCCCUAGAAUCCCCCAGCUCAGGGCCAUACAUCCUCAGAGUCUCGACUCCACACUUGGUGGGGAAGAAUGUUGUUUUAUUGAGAAGGGGAAGAGGGUGUAAAUAGAUUCCUCUUAAACAUUACAUUCAUCCUUGUUAAUCAAAAAUUAGUAGCUCUUAAAAAAAAUAAACACAACUCAGCUCCCCAGGAAGCUGAUAGUAGUUCCCGUGGCCCGUUUAAUUACACAAAAUGAAACAAAACAUAUUCCUCUACUCCUCGCCUGUGGAAUUAACAAAAUGAAAUAUAAUGGUGGCCAUAUCUGGGCAGUGGGAUUAAAGGUGAUUUUUAAUUUACUUCUUUAUGCUGCUCCAUGUUUGUUAAUUUUUUUGUGACGAGCAUGCAUUGCUCAUAAAAAAGUACUUCAAUGUGUAAAAAAAGGAAAUAUGGGAUUGCAUUCCCAAAACCUGUAAACAAAAGAAAUAUAUGUACACCUGUUGCAACUUUUUAGCAGUUCACCUGCCCAUUCUCUGAUCAUUCCCCAAGAGGAAGGCCAUGUUUUCCUGAUUCCCACUCUGUCCCUAACAACAGUGCCUGGCACAUAGUAGGUGCUUAUUAAGCAGCUGCUGAGGCAACUGAAAAAUAGCUAUUUUUAAUCGGGAGAAAAAUGGCUAUUUAACAACCAUGGGUUUCUAAAGACAGAGAGCCCUUUUGGUCUUCUGGCAUGUUUCCGUCUGUUAAAAGGGAAUCUGAAGUUCUUUCGAGGUGGGGACUGCAUAGAAUUGAAUCUUUCUGCAGAAGGUCUUUGUCUCUGUGUAACUGGUGACACAGGUGACAACACGGAUGAAUCCCACAAUAAUUGUGCUGAGCAGAAGGAGCCAGACAAAAAAGAGGGCAUACUUUAUGAUUCAAUUUAUAUGAAGCUCUACAAAAUGUACACUAAUCUACAAUGACAGAAGGCAGAUCAGUGGUUGCCUGGGGCUGAGGUAAAGGAAAGGAGGGGCAGAAAGGAGGAUGCCAAAGGAGUCCAGGACGUUUCUGAGGAUGCUAGACACAUGCACGAUCUAGAUCACGGUGAUAGCGUCAAGGGAGUGCACAUAUGUCAGAACUCAUCAACUUGUGCACUUUUGCAUGUCAAUCACAUCUCCAUGGAGCUGUUUAAAAAGAGAAAGUGCAGAGGAGAGGGAGAAAUUGGAGAGAAGAGUCCCAAUAUGUGCUGAGGCUGGGUACAUGCUGGGAUGAUGUGCCUUGUGAGAAAUACAGACGGAUGGGAUGCUGAGAAGGAUGGAAAAUCGAGGGCUUUCCAGGGUCUCAGGUUGAAGUUGUUUGAUGUGAUGUGAUGUAACUGCCCUUUCCAUGCCUCUAAACAUCCUCAGUGAGUUAGAUCACAUGCAACCAAUUCUGAUGACAGUGAGUGUGUGUGUAUGUGCGUGUGCACAUACACGUGUGUGUGCAUAUGUGUGCCAAGGGAGGACUGGGGAGAAGGGCGACAUGGGAUGCCACAGGCUGGCACAGGCAGGAGAUUGAGACAGCUAAGAAAUGGAACUAGCUUGCAGAAGUGGAAGCUUGAAGCCAGAUGUGACCUCUGGAAAGUCAAGGCUUCCUUCUCCAAUCCUCUGGAAUUUGCAGAAAUCUUGGGAAGCCUCUGGGCUGCUACGGGGCAUGCAGUCAGGACUUAUCAACUUAUCACAUAUUUAUUUAGUUCUCAAAGGCAGGCAGAUCCCAGCUGACAUCUGGAUGCUGCUCCCACACUCAGUGGCUGUUUGUUGAACAAAUGCAGGAAUAUUAUUUUGAUUUGUUGACAGAAAAACAACUGGUGCUAUUUUGAAUAUUGGCAACAGGAGGCAGAAUGAUGAUGAAUGGGCUGCCACUGGGGCUUAGGUCACCUUUCAUCUGGUUAGCAUGUUUCACAAUGCCCGUGCUUUGGGGGCCAUGUCUUAUAAGUCAUGCAUUUAGCAAACAUUGGCCGAGGGCUUGUCACGGGGCAGGCACUACACAAGAUGUUGAGAGGAAACCACUGGAUGAGAUUCAGGCCUUCCCCUAAAGAGCUCGCAGCACAGAGUAGAACACACACAAAUGAAGAUACCAUAAUGCUGGUAGGGGUGUACCAUGGGGGUUGGCAAACUAUGGCCCAUGGGCCAAAUCUGGCCCUCUGACUCCCUGUGUCAACACAGUUCUAUUGGAACACAGCCAUGCCUAUUCACAGAUGUGGCAGCUUUUGGAUUACGAUGGUCGAGUUGAGUAGCUGAGACACAGAUUGUGUGGUCCAUAAAACCUAUAUUGUUUAUCAUCUGGCCCUUUAUAGAAGAAACUUGCCAACCGUGCUCUAACAGAAGACAAUACAGGGCAAGACGCUGGACUGAAGUAAGAAGGUUGGGGUUACUGACCCGGCUUGUUAGCAAACCCAGCUCUCAGUGUUCCAGGCUAGAUCAUAAGAUCAGUUAGGGCUAAGCAUCCUCCUCAUACCGCCUGUGUGAGUUAGCAAGAAGCAGAAUGGACUUCCAAGAGCAGCCCCUGUCUGCCCAGGAGGAAGCACAAAACAGAUGCUCCUGGCCGCAUCAACUUUCCAAGAAAGCAGUGUCUUGAGAGCCUCAGCACUGGGAACCAGGCAACACCAUCUCCCCAUGGUGGCCUCAGGGAGGUUCAUCAAAGCCAACGGUGCCUAGUCAGUGACACUGGGAGAAAGUAAAGAAACAGAAGCAGUUUCUUGUAUCUUUUUAAGCCCAAAGGGGAGGCCCAAACCAAGGAAGUGCAUCAAAUAAUAAUUAAGUGAAGAUAUUUAAUUAGCAUUCAUUUGCACUCUUUAUAUUAAAGUCAGUCCCUGAUGGAAAUCCUUUGUUAUCCUUUGCAAAGACAUAUUAAAUAUUAACUCCUGAACAGGACACACUACAGUCCUGUACAGUACAGCCUGGUUAAAAACUGUCUUUGGAAAUAAUUUAUUUGCAAUUCAUUCGUUAACUAACAAACAUGUAUUGAGUGCCUAUUAUUUGCCAGGCCCACUUGAAGACCAACAUGGUCCGUGCCCUCAAGGGGUUUACAGUUUAGUGUGGGGAGACAGGUAGUGAAUGUUCAGGCAAGCAAGCACACUUGAUCUUUGUUACUCACCAUAGCUAUGUCCUAUAAAACUACUGUAGGCUGGGUGCAGUGGCUCACGCCUGUAAUCCCAGCAAUUUGGGAGGCCGAGGCGGGGCAGACCAC
rnacentral:lncRNA from 1 species